rnacentral:miRNA from 1 species
ACCAGCCGGCAAUACGGCUAUCAGCCGGGCGUGUCUGUAGUAUACUAUAGUAUACUACAGACACGCCCGGCUGAUAGCCGUAUUGCCGGCUGGUAGCC